rnacentral:lncRNA from 1 species
CUUCAUAGAGAGCAGGUACUCUUCCCUGGAGCGCACCUUGUUGCACCAACAUGUUUCGACAGUAGCCGAGAACAGACAAACCAAAAGCUUCUUGCUUUUUAACGUUAAGGCAGCAGUAUGAAUUUGGUGCCGCAAAUGCACCUGAAGUCACCAUAGGUUCUUCUACAAACUUUGAAAGGGAGCUAUGAGUGUAUUCAGUAUGCAAAUGGGCCAUUCGCGAAUUUGCUACUUAAAUUAUGUUUUAUUGCUAAGACUUUAUACUUAAAAGUAUUCCUACAUUGUGAGGUUAUUAUUAUAUAUCAUUAAAAGAUCUGAACAUGUCCACCGUUUACUGACAAAAUAUAGCAGAGUUAUAACAAUAGUGUUGAUAAUAUCUUUAAUUACAAAAAAACUAAACUCAACAGAAGAUAAGACAAUACCAUUACACCUUUUUAAAUUCAAAACCUCACAAACUUGCUUCAACAUUAAGUUAUUAUUUGUUUUCUUAAAAUCUCCCUCUGUGGGUUUGAAAUUGGACACCCACAGUACCUGAUGAACUACAUCCGUCAGUUAGAGCAGAGGUUGGGGAUUGUGCCAGAAACUAAUUCAAAUGGGGAAAUUCCCACAUGGAUCUGUGAGUAAUGAAGUCUUUGUAUGCAUCACUGCCAUUUCACUGCACUGUAAUGUGUGCCAAAGCAGAGCAUCUAUACUGAUUUUAAACAGCUCCUGACUGAUCAAUCUGUUCGCCUCUUUUCCUGUCCACUCGGCUGCAAUGACUUAACAAAGCUGAGCUCCUUGCUGCUGAUUUGCAUCCAAAGCAAAGAAGACACACCAGCCUCUGACACACAGGGUGUGACGAGACAGCGCUGUGAGCCCCCAGCUGGUGGAGGGAAGCUGCUGAUGCUACCACAACCCGUCAACCCCGUCCUGAGUGAGCUGGCCGACUCCCCCAUGUGGUAAAAAAGAAAGAAAGAUGGACGGCAACUUGCUGGUUUACCACUGCAAUGCAAGUUCAUGCGGCUCAUAAGGAAACCUUUCAUGCUAUUCUAUUACUUUUUUUUAGCUUUUCAUGUAGAAAAUUGCCUUCACUAAGGUCAUAUUUAUAGUGCAGAGUCUUAAGUGUCUGAAAAUGUUGUGUAUUAGUAUGCCUAAGAAGCAGAUGUUCAUAUGCAGAUACCAAUUGUCUAAAAAUCUAUUUCAGUUUAUUUUAGACUAUUUUUAAUAAUAAAUAAUACUAAUACAUAUUUUUAGCUGAUUUAAAUGUAGAUAUGUUAUAGUUGUUUUGAGAAAAGCUUGGAUUUAACAGCCUACGUCUUGUUUUGGUGCCAUAUCAGCCCCAUAACUUCUGCAUAUGAGAGUGAAUCCUGAACCCCUGUUGGGUGUGGGAAAGUGUGAAAUGUACUGCUGCACCUUGUUGAGCAUGAAUGUUAAUUUAUGAUAAUUGUAUUUAUUGAUCUGUGCUUCUGAUGGAAACACAAG